AGGGUUCGAGUGUGAGCA
rnacentral:snRNA from 1 species